rnacentral:lncRNA from 1 species
AUGGCGGUCUCCACAGGAGUUAAAGUUCCUCGUAAUUUUCGCUUGUUGGAAGAACUUGAAGAAGGACAAAAAGGAGUAGGUGAUGGUACUGUUAGCUGGGGCCUUGAAGAUGAUGAAGACAUGACACUUACAAGGUGGACAGGCAUGAUUAUUGGGCCACCAAGGACAAACUAUGAAAACAGAAUAUAUAGCCUGAAAGUAGAAUGUGGAUCUAAAUACCCAGAAGCUCCUCCAUCAGUUAGAUUUGUAACAAAAAUUAAUAUGAAUGGGAUCAAUAAUUCCAGUGGAAUGGUGGAUGCACGGAGCAUACCAGUAUUAGCAAAAUGGCAAAAUUCCUAUAGCAUUAAAGUCAUACUUCAAGAGCUAAGACGUCUUAUGAUGUCCAAAGAAAAUAUGAAGCUUCCACAGCCUCCAGAAGGACAGACGUACAACAACUAA